rnacentral:lncRNA from 1 species
UCAGUGGGGACGGAAUGAUUAACAAAGGCGUCCGAAGAAAUCGUUGUUGGAAGGUGACCAAGGUGGAAAGAGACGUUGCUUUGGCCCUGCAAGUAAGAAGAGAGAGGGAAUAGCCUGAAGGAGUAACACUAAAUUUAAAAUGACACUUUUUUACCAACCAGCGAAAGCAGAUGUUCAAAGGGGAUAUUGGCCAGGUGCGGUCGCUCACGCCUUUAAUCCCAGCACUUUGGGGGCAGACGCGGGGAGAUAGCGUGAUUCUAGGAGUUCAACCCCAGCCUGGGCAACAUGCGGAGACCCCGUACCGUCUCUACAAAAACAUUAAACAAAAAAAUUAGCUGGGCAUGGUGGUGUACCCCUGUAGUUGCAGCUACACUAGAGGCUGAGGUGGGAGGAUCGCUUGAGCCCGGGAUGUUGAGGCUGCAGUGAGCCUCGAUCCUAC